UACGGGGGGAGCAAGCGUUGUUCGGAUUUACUGGGCGUAAAGCGCACGUAGGCGGCUUUGUAAGUUAGAGGUGAAAGCCCGGGGCUCAACUCCGGAAUUGCCUUUAAGACUGCAUCGCUCGAAUUGUGGAGAGGUAAGUGGAAUUCCGAGUGUAGAGGUGAAAUUCGUAGAUAUUCGGAAGAACACCAGUGGCGAAGGCGACUUACUGGACACAUAUUGACGCUGAGGUGCGAAAGCGUGGGGAGCAAACAGG
rnacentral:rRNA from 1 species